UGGGGAAUUUUGGACAAUGGGGGAAACCCUGAUCCAGCCAUCCCGCGUGUGCGAUGAAGGCCUUCGGGUUGUAAAGCACUUUUGGCAGGAAAGAAACGUCAUGGGUUAAUACCCCGUGAAACUGACGGUACCUGCAGAAUAAGCACCGGCUAACUACGUGCCAGCAGCCGCGGUAAUACGUAGGGUGCAAGCGUUAAUCGGAAUUACUGGGCGUAAAGCGUGCGCAGGCGGUUCGGAAAGAAAGAUGUGAAAUCCCAGAGCUCAACUUUGGAACUGCAUUUUUAACUACCGGGCUAGAGUGUGUCAGAGGGAGGUGGAAUUCCGCGUGUAGCAGUGAAAUGCGUAGAUAUGCGGAGGAACACCGAUGGCGAAGGCAGCCUCCUGGGACAACACUGACGCUCAUGCACGAAAGCGUGGGGAGCAAACAGG
rnacentral:rRNA from 1 species